rnacentral:rRNA from 1 species
GGACCCGCACAAGCAGUGGAGCAUGUGGUUUAAUUCGACGCAACGCGAAGAACCUUACCAGCGUUUGACAUGGGAAGUGCCGGUUACAGAAUGGUAACCUUCAGUUCGGCUGGCUUCCGCACAGGUGCUGCAUGGCUGUCGUCAGCUCGUGUCGUGAGAUGUUGGUUAAGUCCCGCAACGAGCGCAACCCUUAUCGUUAGUUACUAACAGUUCGGCUGAGGACUCUAGCGAAAACUGCCGGUGAUAAGCCGGAGGAAGGUGGGGAUGACGUCAAGUCCUCAUGGCCUUACACGCUGGCUACACACGUGCUACAAUGGUAACUACAACGGACGCAAUACCGCGAGGUG